ACACGGCUCAUUUUGUGCACCAGCAAAAAACAUAUACCUAUGUCUUGAAUUUGGGGAAAAAAAAUAUUUUAUUCAUCACUAAAGGAGGGUUCGGUGACUGCGCAUAUGAAACUGAUGGGUUCGGUACCUCAAAAAAGGUUAAGAACCACUGGCAUAAAGCCUGAUAAAUUUGGUAGUUCCUCGUCAUAGCACGUUGGUAGCCUGCAUGCUUUGAGCAGACUGAGUCCGUGUUGUUUUAAAUAUUACACACUUUGUGCUCUUAAACCGCCGUAUUGAAGUGUUGUUGUUUUUUUUUUUUGUAGCUCGUGGGGAAAGUCGUCUAACGUGAAUAACUGUUUCGCUGAUAUUGGUGGCGCGUUUAUCGCCAUUUUGCGCGUUGAGCGACUCAAAACCAGCAAAAAGAAUGGCCGAAGCAGACCGACCGGGGAAGCUCUUCAUCGGUGGACUCAACACGGAGACCACCGACAAGGCCUUGGAGCAGUACUUCAGCAAAUAUGGCAGGAUCGUCGAAGGUGGGAAUGGCCCCUCCACAAGUAGAACUCGAUUUUAAUUUUCUACUGAUUUAACACCGCGUGCAAAGCUUAUGUGUUGCUGUAUUUAAUACACACUUAAAGUUUUAUAUUUUUAAUUGUAAUAUUACAGUUUAAUUUGCAUCUUUUCCUUUUGUUUAGCAGUUUUACCAAUACUUAAAAUAAAUACUUUAGACUUUGUAUGAAUUCGGAAUGUUUCAUUUUCACUUUCGAUAGAUAUGAGUGUUUUAUUGUUUGUUUUCAAAAUACUUUGAGGGGCCUUUUGAAAAGCUACAUAAAAGUAGUUACCUACAUAAAAGUAGUUUAUGGAUGUAUAAUUAAAUGCUGAAAUAUUAAGCUAUUUCAUUUUAUUUGCAAAAUUACAUUAAGGAUGCAAUGUUGAAUGCCCGCUUAUCCCCAAUAGUUGCUUAAAAUAGGAACACAGCAUCUAGUUUUCUCAGUGAAUUGUUCAAAUAAAUGACUAAUGAUAAACGACUUGCACCUUUAUCCAGGCAAAUGGUCACAUUUGUUACUACAUAAUCUUUUCAGAAUUGGCCAUGGGUUAAAUAUUCUGUCUUGGUAUAAUAGACAUAGGAUGUUUUUAUUUUAAUUUUUU